CUGGGCUGUAGCUCAGUGGCAGAGUGCUUGCCUAGAAUGUAUGAGGCACUGAGUUCAAUCCUUAGCACUACAAAAAAAAAAAAAAAAACAACUAAACAAAGAAAGGCAUGCUGUUGAUCUAAAACUAUUUAAAAGAGAAAGAAAGAAAGAAAGAAAAGCUGUGCCUCUUGAAUAGUUAGUCCCAAUGAGAAUGCAAGGGAAAUGUUCAUAAAGAAAAUUAAAGUGCUGCUCCAGGGC
rnacentral:lncRNA from 1 species